AAACCAGACACAGUACUAAUGCGGUGCCCGCCUACAAAUAAAACUUCCGGCGUUUUCGCCUACAAGUAAAGUUAUAUUUAGUAUGUUACAUUUUCCUGCCGGCCGCCAGUUGGUCCAUACACAUUAGGAUCAAAACUACGCUUUAAAAUCUUCAAAAUAUAAUAUUUUGGGCUCAAAAUACUAUCAAAAUGAAGAGAAAAGUGAGAUGAAUAUACUGUUAUGUGGCCGAAAAUAGAAAACCAACGAUACCAAAGUUAUCAACUAUCAAGGGUCAAACGUACUGCAUUUUUAGUUAGUUUAAUAAUUUUGAGCGAUUUGUCAACAAUGCCGCCCCCUAUUUCGCUGAUUAAAACUGCACUUUAAAACCUUCAAAAUAAAAUAGUUUGGGCUCAAAAUACUAUCAAAAUGAAGGGAAAAUGAGAUGAAUCCACUGGUAUACGGCCGAAAACGAGAAAACCAACGAUACGAAAGUUAUCAAGAAUCGAACGUACUGCAUUUUUAAUUAGUUUAGUAAUUUUGAGCGUUUGUCGACAUGCAAUGCAAUCUCGCUUGACUUUCAAAGGCCAUAAAUCGCUAGAAUUCUGUUGUUUAGUAACACAUUUGACAUCCAUAAGUACAAUUUCUUACGCUGAAUCGAAUGGUGAUAUUUUUGUCCUUAUUGGGCGCAUAAAACCAGAGAUAAGGCGCAGCAUAAAGUCUAUCGUGAGAGUCCGAGAUUAAAAAUAGAAAAGAAAACUUUCCUCGAAAAAAGGAAUUCGGAAAACGUGAAGGAUUAUUUUGAGCGGCUUGGCUUGUCUUUAAAAGGCUAUAAAUCGCUAGAAUAGAAAUC